UGACAAGUAGAUACUGCGACAGUAGUCGAAGUUAGUACGAGAGGAACACUUCGUCCAGAUACUUGGUUAAUGCCGUUGUCUGAAAAGACAGUACGGCGAAGCUACCAUCUGCUGGAUUACGGCUGAACGCCUCUAAGCCGGAAUCCAUGCUGGAUAAGCAGUGUUGUACACCGUGCUCAAUGCUACAAGAAAAAGGCUAGGUCAGGCUUCGGCCUGACCAAAAUUCAAGCUGCUAUACCUCUGGCUGCAUUGACUUGUGGUCAGAGUGUAUGGUGAUCAUAGCAAUUGCAAGUAUUGGGCUCGAUAAAUCCUUUGAAGACGACUUAAUUGCAUCCGGGUAUUGUAAGUGUUGAGAGUAGGCUUAGUCUUACGAUCCACUGAGAUUCAUCCCGUGUUGCGCCGAUUUGU
rnacentral:ncRNA from 1 species